rnacentral:sRNA from 1 species
UUUGUUUCUGUUUUUUUUGUUGUUUU